CCCACCAACGAUCUCGGCGUUUGUGGAGCUCGGGACUUAGAACUCGAUGGUCUCCCUCUGCGCCUCCCGGCAGCGGGAUCCGCCCCUGCGGGAAGACGCACACACCUGGCCAAACCCUGGGGGCAGCCGAGGUAGAGACCAGGUACACGUUUACACUUGGGUGCACAGCUGCGGAGCCGACCCGACUCCUUGCACCGGCAAUUCCGCUCGCUCAUUUUCUGGACUGGAGCCGCCGGCGAAGGAAGGUGCUUGGGAUGGAGAAAACUUAAGAAGAUGGAGCUAAGUACAGUAAACUUGGCUGUUAACCAUCAGAUUGCAACGUUCAAGACUAAAACUGUUUGCUCAUAA